rnacentral:lncRNA from 1 species
AGGAGCUUGGUGAAUAUUUAUUAUCAUGAUUUUCACUCGGAUUAAGGUAAGAUUUCAUCACUUUAUUGAUGAAUUUCUUGAUUUUUGAUGCCAAACCCCAAAUUCACUGGGCCCAAAGAUUUCUUGUUUUUCACCCAUUUUUUAGGAUUUUGAUUCCUUGUUCAUGUAUGAACGUUGGGUUGACUUCGAAAACGCAUUUUUCAUAAGUGGGAUCCACUUAGGGUUGUUUGAUGUCGUUUUUAGAUCCGAAGUAUAAUAGUGUAAUAUGGGUAUCAUUAAACUCGUACUGAUGAAUCGAUUAUGAUUUUGAUAGUGUAAUGAUAUUUUAGGGAUUGUGAAGUGAAGAGUGUGUGGUGCAUGAAUUGAGGUUUUGUGAUUUGGCCUUGAGGUAGGCUUUUGUCUACUUUUCUUCAUAGAUGAUGUGUGAUAUAUGUUGAGUGAAAAUAUGAAUGUUAGGCUUGAUUAUGAUUAGGAUAAGUUGGCCUUGAUUGUUGAUGUGGAUAAGUUGGCCUUGAUUGUUGAUGUUUGGAGAUUAGAUAAGGAUUUUGGACCCAUAAAAUGGCAUGUUUAUAACCCUUUUGAAUCCUAUUGCUUUUCCUUUCUAGUUUAGAAUUAUUAUAGCAUGGUUGUGAUGUAAACCUAUGUUUAGGAUGUGGUUUUAACAUUUGAAGCAUGAUUAGUACAUUUGACCAAUUUGGACUAACGAGGUAGUCUUGAAAUCGUAAUUUGGAUAGAGUUGAUUUAAGUACCCUUGUUUCUAGUCAAUGACUUACUUGAUAUCUAGAAGAUGAACUAGACACCUUAGCCUAGUUUGGGGCAUAGCGUGCCUAAUUAUGGAAGUGAAGGAUUAGAAGUGGGAUCAUCCGGCCCAUUAAGCCAAGACUUGUGUUAGCCCUUGUAGGCUUAGUUGCGGAUAGUAGAUUUAGUUGAGACUAAUGAGCCUUAUUUAUGAGAUUUACUUAGUGAAUUAAUAAAUUGUGAUGAUUUUCACCGAAUUGUUAUUAAUGGACUAUAGAGACGUUAAUUUCCCAUAGAUGUGAUAUUGGGCAUUUUGAGAUAUUAUUUCCUCUUAAUUAUGAUAUUUGGCCCAUAGAAAUGCAUUUUCCUCUUAAUUAUGAUAUUUGGCUCAUAGAGAUGCAGAAAAUUACAUGCCAAAGACCCAAAUACGAGUGAUUUUAGCUAUUUGACUUCAAUAGAAAUAUCUUUAAAGAAUAACUUUCCUUACAUUUUAAGUAUAGUACAAGUAUCAUUUUUCCUCUUUACACCUCAAAUAUAUUUUUAAACUUUCCAUAUCAUUUGUCUGUAAAAUUUUAUUUUUAAUUAUUUUUACCUUUUUUUUUUAAUUUUAUUAUUCUAUUUUUUUAUUACUCUUACUUUUUAAUUUUUUCUUUAAUUUUAUUUUUAUUAUUUAAUUCAUUUGUCUCAACCUUUAUUUUUUCUCUUUUUUUCUUUUCUCUCAAACAUUAUCUAUUUCUUCAUUUUUUUUAAUUCAUUUCUCUCAACUUUCAUUUUUCUUUUAUUUUUUAUUUUUAUCAUUUCUCUUUUUUUCCCCCUCAUUUAUCUCAAAUUUUUUAUUUUUAUUUUUUCCUCUUAUUUUUAUUUCUCAUUUUUUUUUAAUUCUUCGCCUUUUUCAUCUUUAUUUUUUUCUUGUCUUUUUUUCUCAAUCUCUUUUUUAUUAUUUCUCUAUUUUGUUUGAUCGUUUUUUUCUCAUAAUGUGAUAGUGUCAACUCUUAUUCAUGGUGCAUAACUUGUUUAAAAUUCCUUAAUUUAUAAAACAUCUCAUAAAUCAAGACACAAUAUCGUAGAGUCAAAUUUUGUCCGUGAAGCGUAACUUUUUGUUUAAAAAUUCUUGGGCUAAGUCUUGUCUCUAAAUCAAGCGUUAUAGAAUAUUUCAUAAAUCAAAACAUAAUAUGAUAGUGUCAACUUACCCAUAGGACAUAACUUGUUAUUUGAAAGUCCUUGGGUUAAGUCUUGCCUCUUAGAAUUAUAGAAUAUCUCAUAAAUCAAAACACAAUGUGGUAAUGUCAACUCUUGCACAUGGGGCACAACUUGUUACUUAAAAGUCCUUCGACUACGUCUUACCUCUAAGAAAAGAGUUAUAAAACAUCUCAUAAAUUAUACACGAUGUAAUGGUGUCAACUCUUGUCCGUGAGGCAUAACUUAUUGUUUGAUGGUCCUUAGGCUAAGUCUUUACAUCUAAGACAAGAUUUAUAGAGCAUUUCAUAAGUAAAAAACAAUGUAUUAGUGUUGAAUCUUGCCCAAUAUAUAUAAUUUGUUUGAAAAUUUUUUAGAUAAGUCGUGCCUCUAAAGCGAGAGCUAUAGAAUAUCUCAUAAAUAAAAACAUAAUGUGGUAGUGUCAACUCUUGCCCGUUGGACAUAAUUUGUAGUUUGAAAGUUCCAAAGCUAAACUUUGCCUCUAAGACAAUAGUUGUAAAACAUCUCAUAAAUGAAAAUAUAAUGUGGUAGAGUUAAAUCUUGUCCGUAAAAAAUAAUUUGUAGUUUGAAAAUCCUUGAGCUAAGUCUUGCAUUUAUGGCAAUAGUUGUAGAAUAUCUCCUAAAUGAAAACAUAGUGUGGUAGAGUCAAAUCUUGCCCAUGAGGCAUAAUUUAUUGUUUGAAAGUCUUUGAGCUAAGUCUUACCUCUAAAGCAGUAAUUGUAGAACAUCUCAUAAGUAAAAACAUAACGUGGUAGAGUCAACUCUUGCCCGUGGGGCAUAAUUUAUUGUUUGCAAGUCCCUGAGCUAAGUAUUGCCUCUAGGAUAAGCGUUAUAAAAUAUAUCAUAAAUCAAAAUACAAUGUGGUAGUGUCAACUCUUGCCUAUAAAACAUAACUUGUUGUUUGAAAGUCAUAAAUCUUACCUCUACAAUGUGGUAGUGUCAACUUGCCUCUAUAAUGUUGUAAUGUCAACUCUUGUCCAUGCAACGUAGUGUAUUGUUUGAAAGUCAUAAGUCUUACCUUUAUAAUGUGAUAAUAUCAACAUUUGCUCAUGAGAUGUAACUUGAAUAGAAGAAAUCAAAGAAAAGAACAAAAAUAAUAAAAUUACAGAAAAAGAAGAAAAUUAAGAAAAAUAUUAAAAAAAUAAAAACCAAAGAAAAUGUAAAAGUUGAGAGAGAAUGAAAAAAAAAUAAUGGUUGAUAAAAAUAAAAUAAUAAAAAGAAGGUCGAGAAAUUUUUAUUUUUUAAAAAAAAAAAAAGAAAAAUCAAAGAAAAAUAAAAAAAAGUUUGUUUUUUUAAAAAAGUAGACAUUGAGAGGUGUAAGGACAAAAAAGUAUGAGAGGAAAAAAGAAAAAAAGUAGGGAUUGAAAAAAAUCAAAAAUAAAAAGAGAAAAUAAAAAAUAAAAAUCAAAGUAAAUUUAAAAGAGAAAAAAGUGAAAGUUGAAAUAUAUAAAUAUGUAGUUGUUAGCCAUUAUGAGGAUCAUUUAAGUAAUUUAAUUCAUUGGCAAGGACAAUUUCGUUCAAAAAAAUAUUAGUUAAUAGAUAAAGACUAUUUUAAGAAAACUUUUUUAUUUGGAGCUAAAAUUUAAAAGUCACCCCAAUUUUGGUCUAUUCUUGAAAUUUACCCAUAGAGGUGUAUUUUCCUCUAAGAGUGUGUUUGGUAUGAAGGAAAACAUUUUUCAGUUUUCUUAUGUUUGGUUAGGUUAUAUAUUUUGAAAAAAUAUUUUCCAAAUCAACUUAUUUUCUCUAAAUCUAAGGAAAAUGAUUUCCCUUCAAAAAGUAAGGAAAACAUUUUUCAAAACUCUCUUUCAACCUCACUUUAAAGUUGAAAUGUUCACACAAUUCUCAAAAUCAUCUACCCCUGCCCCCAAUACCC